rnacentral:rRNA from 1 species
UACGUAGGGUGCAAGCGUUGUCCGGAAUUAUUGGGCGUAAAGAGCUCGUAGGCGGUCUGUCGCGUCUGCUGUGAAAACUCAGGGCUUAACCCUGAGCUUGCAGUGGGUACGGGCAGACUAGAGUCCGGAAGAGGAGUGUGGAAUUCCCGGUGUAGCGGUGAAAUGCGCAGAUAUCGGGAAGAACACCCGUGGCGAAGGCGGCACUCUGGGACGGUACUGACGCUGAGACGCGAAAGCGUGGGGAGCGAACAGG